rnacentral:rRNA from 1 species
CCAAGCCCGAAAGUGUGAUGGGGUUACCCCGAGUGCCUUCCUUAUCGGAGGGCUUUUCUCUGGUGUACCCCCUUAAAGGAAUAAGGAGGGGGCAAGAUUGGUGUCAGCCCCCCCGAUAAUACCAACCCUCCGAGUGGUAGGGAUGAUUAUUGGGCUUAAAGCGUCCGUAGCUUGCUUGGAAAGUCUUCCGUGAAAUCCAGCGUCUAAGCGUUGGGAUGCGGAAGAUACUAUCAAGCUAGGAGGCGGAAGAGGCCGACGGUAUUCCUAGGGGAGGGGUGAAAUCCUAUAAUCCUAGGAGGACCACCAGUGGCGAAGGCGGUCGGCCAGGACGCACUCGACGGUGAGGGACGAAAGCUGGGGGAGCGAACCGGAUUAGAUACCCGGGUAGUCCCAGCAGUAAACUGUGCAGGCUAGGUGUUGGGGUGGCUACGAGCCACCUCGGUGCCGCAGGAAAACCGUUAAGCUUGCCGCCUGGGGAGUACGACCGCAAGGUUGAAACUUAAAGGAAUUGGCGGGGGAG